GCAUCUGUGCAUGCAGCAUAUCAAUAAGCGGAGGAAAAGAAACUAACAAGGAUUCCCUUAGUAACGGCGAGUGAAGCGGGAAGAGCUCAAAUUUGAAAUCUUCAAGGUUUUACCUUGACGAAUUGUAGUUUAAAGAAGUGUUUUCUGUUGAAGUUUUGGUAAAAGUUCUUUGGAAUAGGACAUCAUAGAGGGUGAGAAUCCCGUAUUUGACCAUUAUUUUCAGCUGUGUGAUACACUUUCAAAGAGUCGGAUUGUUUGGGAAUGCAGUCCAAAAUGAGUGGUAAAUUUCAUCUAAAGCUAAAUAUUGGCGAGAGACCGAUAGCGAACAAGUACCGUGAGGGAAAGAUGAAAAGAACUUUGAAAAGAGAGUUAAACAGUACGUGAAAUUGUCAAAAGGGAAGCGUUUGACACCAGUGUUGUUUUCUCGAAAAUCAAUUAAAAAGAGUUAGAUUUUGUUGUGUAUUGACCUUAACAGCUUGCAUUUCAAUUUUCUUGCUUUUUUUAAUGCACUUUUCGUUUAACAAGUCAACAUCAGUUUCUUUUGUUGUAAAAAGGUCAUUGGAAGGUGGCUUUCUUUUCGGAGAAAGUGUUUAUAGCCUUUGACUCCUGCAAUCGGAGAGACUGAGGUCUGCAGCGUAGAUCCUUCGGGAUUAGAUACAUUUGUGCUAAGUUAUAGCUUUUUAUAGACAACUUGUUGACUAUGAUUAGUCUUGUAGCUUACUCGCUUAUGCUAUUUUACCUACGCUUAGGAUGUUGAUGUGAUACUGCGAGCA
rnacentral:rRNA from 1 species